CUACUUUCCUGGACGGGAUCAAUGGAUGAUUCAAAAGGCUCUUCGCCUUGGUAGGUGACCUCUAUUUGCACAUAAAGAAGGGAUACCAGCCUAAGGACUUCCCAAGUGGAAGAUCCUUGGUCAUUAUUUGUUGCAUCGAGGGUUUGCGUGCAGCUCCAGU